UACGUAGGCAGCGAGCGUUGUUCGGAAUUACUGGGCGUAAAGAGUGUGUAGGCGGUGCUCUAAGUUUGGUGUGAAAUCUCCCGGCUCAACUGGGAGGGUGCAUCGAAAACUGGAGUGCUCGAGGGUGGGAGAGGUAAGCGGAAUUCCUGGUGUAGCGGUGAAAUGCGUAGAUAUCAGGAGGAACACCUGUGGCGAAAGCGGCUCACUGGACCAUAACUGACGCUGAUGCACGAAAGCUAGGGGAGCAAACAGG
rnacentral:rRNA from 1 species